GGGCUUGACUGGUUUCGACGGGGUAUCUUAAGUUGAAGAAGCCAUCCGCAGGCUGGUGCGUUAAACCGCAAAUUAAACAUAAUCGCUGAAGAUAAUUUAGCAUUCGCUGCCUAAUUGGCAACGCGUCGGCUUCAGAGCACCUACACUCUGAAAUCCCGGCGUCAAUCAUGUAGGAAACGACGUUAUCAAAGCUUUGAGAUAGCGGGCGUAUCAUGAAGCUACCGGAGCUGUUACGGCUAUGAUGGUAGAAGGGCAAUGGCGGAUGUUUCGGACGGGGGUUCGAAUCCCCCCAGGUCCAC
rnacentral:tmRNA from 1 species